rnacentral:lncRNA from 1 species
GGAGUUCUUUGUUCCCUCCAUUGAGCCUCAAAACCCUACGGGGAAUGUAGAUGUCCGGCGACCGGCGAACUCCACAAACCCGUCUUUCUUCUCCACCCCCUCUACCGGUGAACCCAUCUUUCAUCUCCACCCCGUCGAUCGGCGAACCCCUCUUUCUUCUCCACUCCGUUAACCAGUGAACAUGCCCUCUAACUAGAGCGACCUCUGGUGUCCAACUCAUCGACUUGGUUUCUAGCUCACGUCAGGAAAUUGGUGGAGAAAUUGGUUGAGGAACAAGGUCAAUAGGUUUAAAAUCGGUUACUGGGGUCACGAAAUUGGUAAGUACCAAAUUAUCUUUUAACUAUUGAGAUGAUUUGUUUUGCAUGAGUGAAUUAGUUACUCUGGAUGAAGUAGAUUCAUGGCUUUAA